UGGGGAAUCUUCCGCAAUGGGCGAAAGCCUGACGGAGCAACGCCGCGUGAGUGAAGAAGGUCUUCGGAUCGUAAAGCUCUGUUGUCGGGGACGAAUGUUGAGAUCUAGAAUAUAGAUUUCAAAUGACGGUACCUGACGAGGAAGCCACGGCUAACUACGUGCCAGCAGCCGCGGUAAUACGUAGGUGGCGAGCGUUGUCCGGAAUUAUUGGGCGUAAAGGGAGCGCAGGCGGGAAGGUAAGUCUAUCUUAAAAGUGCGGGGCUCAACCCCGUGAGGGGAUAGAAACUAUCAUUCUUGAGUGCAGGAGAGGAAAGCGGAAUUCCUAGUGUAGCGGUGAAAUGCGUAGAUAUUAGGAGGAACACCAGUGGCGAAGGCGGCUUUCUGGACUGUAACUGACGCU
rnacentral:rRNA from 1 species